AAUGAGGUGGCAGAUUUAAUGCGAUAAGUUUAAGCCUUAUAUAUGAAGAAUUAACUUCCCUUGUUU
rnacentral:tRNA from 1 species